GGUGGCCUAGUGGUUAAAGUAUCCGCCUUUGAUGCUGGAGGUCGUGGGUUCGAUACCCGGUAUAGUCA